AUUGAACGCUGGCGGCAGGCCUAACACAUGCAAGUCGAGCGGAUGAAGGGAGCUUUCUCCUGUAUUCAGCGGCGGACGGGUGAGUAAUGCCUAGGAAUCUGCCUGGUAGUGUGGGAUAACGUCCGGAAACGGGCGCUAAUACCGCAUACGUCCUUAGUGUGAAAGUGGGGGUUCUUCGGACCUCACGCUAUCAGAUGUGCCUAGGUCGGAUUAGCUAGUUGGUGUGGUAAAGGCCUACCAAGGCGACGAUCCGUAACUGGUCUGAGAGGAUGAUCAGUCACACUGGAACUGAGACACGGUCCAGACUCCUACGGGAGGCAGCAGUGGGGAAUAUUGGACAAAGGGCGAAAGCCUGAUCCAGCAAUGCCGCGUGUGUGAAGAAGGUCUUCGGAUUGUAAAGCACUUUAAGUUGGGAGGAAGGGAAGUAAGUUAAUACCUUGCUGUUUUGACGUUACCAAAAGAAUAAGCACCGGCUAACUUCGUG
rnacentral:rRNA from 1 species